GGAGGCGUAUCCGGUCUGGUGACCGGCGCGGUCUUCAAAACCGUUGGGCGGCAGCCGCUGUCGCCGGCGGGUUCGAUUCCCGUCCGCCUCCGCCA
rnacentral:tRNA from 1 species